CACCUUCACAUUAUCCACAGAAAAACCUACACAUUACCUCUGCCUCCUCCAUCCAAGGAGUACGCGGCCAAGCCAAAUCUCUUCUCUCCGUGACCACAACGCCGCCGCCGCCACCAGUGAUUCUGCCUAGCUCCGGCGCUUGCUGCGCCGCCGCUUACAGGAGCAGCUACCCCUCACUACCCUUCCCCGAUCCCUCGCCAUGGCGACUUCCUCCGCGCCCCUACAUGCGGCCCGCAGCAACCCUAGUUACCACAGGUCGCCAAUGUCCCGCGCCUCCUCUGUUUUGUCGAUCUACUGCCCCGCGCCUCCUCUGGUUUGUCGACCUACUGCCCCGCGCCACGUCUCCGCACGCGCCGCUCCCGGCUCGGCCUUGGUGGUGCUGCUCCGCCUCAGCAAUCUCGACUCCGACGCCGCUCACGGUUCAGCAAGCCACUCCUCUGACCCGCUCUUCUCUUUAACUAUUUGGUUCUUUCUGUGGCAGGCCAGGGCGGAUUCUUUGCCGGCCAUCGUGAUGACAAUCCACGCUACCUUGACUGCUCAUCCUGAUCCACCGCCGCGGGCGCUGGCUUGCAUCGGCAUCAAUGUCACCACACUCCGUAAAUCAGAGGAUGCCUAACAUCACACGGUAAUGAUCUGCCCGCGGUGUUUUCAAGUGGAGAGGCGGAUGAUUUAAAGUGCUAGUAUCAGAAUAUUAGAUCACUGGUGGCGUGUUGUCUGCUGGAAGCAAUUCGCCUAGAGGGGAAAGGGUGGCCGUUGUACCGGGGGUGAGUACAAUCGAGGGCGAGGCACACGUGGGUGGGGAGGAAACACUUGGUGCUAGGUUAAAGGAAGGGCUGAGUACGAUUAGUCCAGUGUAGUUACAGGUGUUGGCCUCUAGCUUGCUGUCAAAGACGUGCUCUUGCAGAGGACCAGAGUAAUGCUUUAAUUCCCGCCAAUGCAUCAAUGCAAGGAUACCAGAAUAUGGGUUGCUUUAGACUUUCCUUGAGGAACUGGUGACAAAAUACACAGAAACCAAGUUUGUUAAAUUAUCCCCACUAACUAUAUUCCCAACUACCCAUAUAGGAUGUUUCCAAAGGGAUUUUUGUUCGUCUGCAGCAACUUUGUGGAACGAAAUGCACACCUGAAUUGGCGCAUUGCCAGUCAGUUCUAGUACUGAACCAUGGGCAGGGUGGCGGUAAUUCAUCCUAUAACAAUGUCAUAGAAGGCAUUCACAGGUAGUUCCUAGAGAAGCUUGUCAUCCAGCAUGAAGGACGAUGAAGACGAAGAUGAUGCAUUGCUAAGUUGUUGAUAGAAAGGUGGAGAAUGGGGCUACUACAAGAUAGUUUUACGUUUACGUUAUACAAUGUCAGUUUCAUGGUUAAUAAAUAGGAGAUCAUGUAAUAUCUUUAUCAGAUUGUGUUCCAUGUAAUGCAAACCGAUUUGAUUAAAUAUAUAAAAUCUUUCUGUUUA